UACGAAAGGAGCAGGUGUUAUUCAGAUUAACUGGGCGUAAAGGGCACGUAGGUGGUUUGUUUAUGUGUAUUAUUAAAUUGUAAAAGCAUAACUUUAUAACGUAUUACAGACAACAAAACUAGAGUUAGGUAGAGGGUAGUAGAAUUUCUAAUGUAAAGGUGAAAUUUGAUAAAAUUAGAGAGAAUACCAAUGGCGUAAGCAACUAU
rnacentral:rRNA from 1 species